UGUGGGUGUGUGGGUGUGUGUACAAGCAUGCAUGAGCCACAGCACAUGUGUAGAGGUCAGAGGACAACAUUAGGUGUUGGUCCUUGCCUUCCACCAUGUUUGAGACGGAUCUCUUGUAAUACACAGUGGCAUACGCCAGGCCACUGGCCCAUGAACUUCUGAGGAUUCUCUUGUCUUUGCCUCAUUUCUCAGCACGGGAGCCCCAGGGUUGUGGGUGCCUGGCUGUGUGUCCAGUUUGAUGUGGUUUCUAGGGAAGCAAACAAGGCCUUUACACUUGCACAACAGAGGCAUCUUCUCAGCCCUGAAGCAUGGUGUUUAAUCAUCUCCAUUUUAGACAGGAAAAAUUAUACAGAAGAGAAAAGGAAACAGGAUCAUGAGAGAUCAAGAAAGAAUAAAUUUCUUAAGAAAGAACCCCGUCUAGUUCAGUAAAGCGGCUAGCAUCAAAUACACAUAAAGUAAAGCGGCUAGCAUCAAAUACACAUAAGGUGGAAGGAAAAGUAAAGCGGCUAGCAUCAAAUACACAUAAGGUGGAAGGAAAAGAACAGACAAUAACAGAACAAAUCAGAAGGGCAACCAACAACAUGAUAGAAAUAAUUCUCAGUAAAAACUCUAUAUUUAAACAGUCAUAAUUCUAAUUAAAAGAUGGAGACGUGGACCAGAGGGUGGCUCGGUGGGUCGAAGAAUUGCUGCAGAAGUCAUAGCCUGUGUUUGAGUCCUGGAACUCAUGUAAAGGUGAAAACAAGGAACUUGCUCCACAAAGCUUUCCUCUGACCUCACGCAUACACCAAGCAUACACAUGCAAUAAGAAAAUGUAUAUUAGCUGAUGAAAAAUGACUUAAAUAUCUGUUAUUUAUAAGAAACACAUCUCACUGGCAGACAUACACAACUGAGAGUCAAAGAAUAUUUGUCAAUAAGGCAAACAAAUUGAAGCUAAAACAAAACAGGAACAACUACCCUUUGUAUAUAAUAAACUUCAAACUAAAAUUACCCAGAGGCGAUAAAGAAGACCACUAAUUAUUAGCACAGUUAAAAUUCCACUGAAAUUAUAUACACACACACACAUCACUGAUUUCCAGAACAUUCAAUUUCAUGAAACAAACAGUAUUGGAAAUAAUGAAGUGCAGGUACUGAUAUCUUAAUGCUGGAUGAGUUCAAUAUCAUAUACUUAUCAGUAGAUAAAUCAACUAAUCAAUAAAUCAACAAAGACUCUUCUACCAAUGGCUAUGAAACACAUGGCCUUCUUGGAAGUCAGUAGAACUUCCUCUGAAAUUUUUGUAACAUUUAAGUGAUAAAGUGAGUCUUAAUGAACACAAACUAAAUAAAUGGACAGUAAACUCCUUGCCCCUUAUCCAGUCACAGUGAAGACAGAAGUCAGCAGCAAGAGGAAUUUCAGAAACCACACAGAUGCAUAGGGAUCGAAAAGUACACUCUGGAUGAUCACUGAUCAUUAAGGAAAUCCAAGAGGAAAUUUAAAGUUUUCUAGAAUCAAAGAAAAAUGAAAACACAACAGAAACUCUGGGAUACAGCAAAGGCAGCUCUUAGAGAAAAGGUUACAACUUUGAUGGUCACAAACUCAGAGAUCUCAAAGGAAUACUUAAAUGUGCAUCUCAAAGUCUUAGAAAGAUGUAAAUGGGCCAAAGCAAAAA